GACGAACGCUGGCGGCGUGCUUAACACAUGCAAGUCGAACGGUGAAAGCGGUGCUUGCUCCGCUGGGUCAGUGGCGAACGGGUGAGUAACACGUGGGCAACCUGCCCCUCACUUCGGGAUAACUCCGGGAAACCGGGGCUAAUACCGGAUAUGACCUCCUUGGGCAUCCUUGGAGGUGGAAAGUUUUUCGGUGAGGGAUGGGCCCGCGGCCUAUCAGCUUGUUGGUGAGGUAGUGGCUCACCAAGGCGACGACGGGUAGCCGGCCUGAGAGGGCGACCGGCCACACUGGGAUUGAGACACGGCCCAGACUCCUACGGGAGGCAGCAGUGGGGAAUAUUGCGCAAUGGGCGAAAGCCUGACGCAGCAACGCCGCGUGCGGGAUGACGGCCUUCGGGUUGUAAACCGCUUUCAGCAGGGAAGAAGCCGCAAGGUGACGGUACCUGCAGAAGAAGCACCGGCUAACUACGUGCCAGCAGCAGCCGCCG
rnacentral:rRNA from 1 species